rnacentral:misc_RNA from 1 species
UGAUGGAGCAAAUCAGGAGGGAAAUUGCUGUUAUUUUAAGUAGUUGAUAUCUAUCAUCUAUUUUUGUCAUAGUCGUGGUGUUUAUCACUACGAUUUGAAGUCGAAAAAAUUUCUUCUUGAUGAAGAUGGCAACUUGAAAGUUACAAAUUUUUGAGCACGUUGUUGCCCCUCUCUAACAGUGUAACAAAUGAUAAGGUGCAAUUGCAACUCUUUCAAAGUUUAGAGUUUAAUUGACAUUUUUCAAAGUUUGAAUAGAAUUGCAAUAAUUUGAAAAGUUCAAGAUUUUUUUGGCAAUCAUCCUUAGUUGACAUGGUGCUAAGUUGGCGUCUUACAUGAUACGCCGUUACAUGCAUUCACGGUGCAACAAAUGGUAGGAUACAAUUGCAACUCCUUUUAAAGUUUAAGGUUUAAUUGGUAAUUUUCAAAGUUUGGAGUAAAUUUGCAAAAUUUUAGAAAGUUCAGGUUCUUUUUUGCCAAUUAUCCCUAAAUAUUUUAUUGUCUGUUUGUGUAUUUCUCUUGGGUUCAACAUAAAUUUUAAGAAAUGAAUUUUGUUUUCUUUC